rnacentral:lncRNA from 1 species
UUUCUCAGCCAGAAACGCCGUAGUAGGUCUCCUAUGCUGGUUUUUCAUAUUUUUUCACCAUGUAAGUUCAAUUUUUACUUUUUCUUAGUAAUUUUUAUGUUUUUGUGACUUUUACAAUUAGGUCCAAUCAUCUAAUUCAUUAGUUUUUGAUUUGGUGGGUGAAAUUGGAAGUUACCUUGGCUGAGUAAGGGCAGUAUAUGAUGAAUUAUUAUGAAAUUUAAGUUCUAAUUUCAUAUUAAGGUUGUUUUAUUAAGUCAUUUUGAGAGAAAAUGGUAUUUAGGACCUAAUUGUGAAAAAGUUGUGAAUUAGAUGUUGGUGUUAAAAUUCAGAAUAUAAAAGGUUGUGAAUUAGUUUAUAAUGAUAAAAUAAAAGUGUUAAUUGAGAAAAAAAAUUAGUUCAAUUGAUGGGUGAAUUGAGCAGGGACUAAAUUGUAAAAACUGUAAAUUUUGGGGUAAAAGUGAAAUUUCGAAAUUUGAACAGCAUAAAUUGUGAAGUGAAAUAGAAAUCAAAUAAAUGCUAAUGAGUAGAAAUAAUUUAUAUUAUAGAUCAAGAGAAAUGAGAUUCAAGUCGUGAUCGAGGGAAAAAUAAAGUUUACGAGGAAUAGGCUCGAUUGCUAAUAUUUUAUAUCGAGGUAAGUUCAUAUGAUUUUAAUAAUGCAAUGUGUAAUUUAAUGUUUUGAAAUGAAAAUUUCAUGAAUGAUAUAGUAUAUUAUUGCAUAUAAAAUGUCAUUAAACUGUGAUAAUUAUAAAAUGAUAUUUGAAUAAAAGUACAAAUUAAAUGGAACAACGGACUUGAGUACUUUCAUUCAGUGGCUAAGACGAAUUGACGAAAAAGACCAUGGUUGGACCAUGGCAGCAUGUGAAAUGUGAUUUCCGUAUAAGACCAUAGCUGGGCUAUGGCUUCGGAGAAAUGUGAUAUGUGCUUCCGUAUAAGACCAUAUCCGGGAUAUGGCAUCGGUGUGAUAUGUGCUACUGUAUAAGACCAUAUCUGGGAUAUGGCAUCAGUGUGAUAUGUGAUCCGUGUAAGACCAUUGCUGGGCUAUGGCCUCGGUAUGUGAUAUGUGACUAUGUGCAAGACCAUAGUUUUACUAUGGCAUUGUGAUAAUGAGGUACUCAAUUCCGUAAUCGUUCCCUAAUUUGAUUAUGAACGAAAAUGUAAAAUGGCCCGAAAAGAUUAAGAAUUGGUGAAUACUAUGAAAAUGACACGAUUUGGAAUAAGUUCUUGAUACUUGAUGACAUUGAGAUUAUGGAUCUAUGCUUAUGAAGCAUAAUUAUGUGUUCUUACCAUGAUGGAUGAAAUGAUAUUGUAUGGAUUUAGUGAAUAAUAGUGGUGAAUGAAUAAAUAUGGCCUUGGCAGUUUUGGGUUACUGCAGUAGUGUAUCUUUUGAAAUUCACCAUAAAUUGUGGAAAUUGAGUUAAGGGCUGAAUAAAAUAUGAGAUUAAAGCCUGAUGAGUCUAGUUUCAUAUAGAGGAAACGUUGCAUGCAAUUGGAUUUUAUGUUAUAAGAUAUUUAAAUUGUUGUGAGAUAGAGUUUGAAUGACUUCGAGAUCCCCUGUUCUGAUUUUAGAAAAUCAUUAGAAAUUGUAAAAAAAUAAUUAUGAGUUUUAAUUUAUAUAUUUAAAAUCCUUAUCGAGUCUAUUUUCAAGAGGGAUAGACGGGAACAUCAUCCAAGUCCCGAAUUAUGAGAUAAAUAAUUUUUAGUGAAGAGAGGUCAGAACUGUUGGACAGCGAAAUAGGGGAAACUUUAAUGAGUAGACUGUACUAAAUGGAUAAACCAAAAAAUUCUGGAAAUUUUAUGGGAGAAAGGUAUAUGAAUCUAGUUUCAAAUAAAAUUAAUGGAACUUAAUUUGAAGUUUCGUAGCUCCAGAAAUAAAUCAUUUAGUAAAUGUAUCUCGAUAAAACAGUUUAAGGUGAAUAUGUAUAAUUGUACAAUUGUGGUGUUUUAUCUUAAAAGCAUAUUGGUAUUUGCUUAUUAAUUUCAUAUGGACUUACUAAGCAUUUAUGCUUACUCCCUCCUUUUCAUUCCUUGUAGUUUUGACAAGCCAGCUCGAAAAUCGGGAACGGUCGGAGGCCCACUCACACUAUCCGUAUACCAUCUUGGCAUAAUGGCUUGUAUAUUUUGAGUAUGGCAUGUAUAGCAUUAUAAUCAUUUUGUAUAUAUGGUCUUAUGAUAUGGAUAUUGAGUGGUAUGGAAAUGCUUGGUAAUGAUUAGCCAUUGGAAUGGCUAAUCAAGGUCAUAUUUGGUGUUAUGUAUGCUAAAUUGCUAGCUAAUCCAUGGAAACCGUGAAAUAGGCAAAAUUUACCAUAAAAUAGAUUCAGACAACAGCAGUGAUGUGAGUUUAAAAAAUCAUUAAAAAUAGUAGAGAUACAAUUAGAUAAUGAAUAAAAUAUGGAAUUGAAGAAUUAUUAGUCUAUUUUCACAUGGAUGGAACAAAACAGGUAUAUGAGUUAUAUUUUAUGAGAAGUUUAAACUUUUGUGAAACAGGGCCAGAGCGAUUUGUGGAUCCCCUGUUCUGACUUUGGAAAUUCACCAUAAGUUGUACAAAGAUAAUUAGAAGUUAUGCUUUAUAUGUACAGAUUCCUUAUUGAGUCUAGUUUUAUUAGAAACAAACGGCAUAGUCAUUGAAACUCUGUACAGGGAGAUAUCUGAUUCGUAAUACACAGAGAUCAGAGCAGUCGAACCCUAAAACAGGGGAGACUUUAACUAAUAAACUGUACUAAUUGGCCUGACCAAAAAUUCUAUAAAAAAAUUAGUAGAUAUAUAUAUGAGUCUAGUUUAAGGAAAAAUUUACGGAAUUUUAUUUUGAGUUUCGGAACUCGAGAUAUGAAUUUUUAAGCAACUAUGACGCAGUUGGACAGCUUAUCCGAAUUUGUUUAAGUGCUCAAAUAAGUUUAGUAAUGCCUCGUGCUCGACUCCGGCGACAGUCUCGGGUAAGGGAGCGUUACAAACGGUCACUAAAUUAGACAUUAAAUACUAUUAGUACCGAUACUAGUAGAAAAAGUAUUGAUAUAUGUUGUUGCAGGUGACAUCAAUGCACUUAUACUUUCUUCCCAACAACUCUAUUCAAUAUUCCAAUAACUAUAACGGCUGGAAAUUAAUUAAGGCUUAGUUUAACAUUGCUUCUCAAAGGUGUUUUUGGGGAAAAAAUCACUUUUGUAGGAAAGCUAAAAUUUUCAGCUUUUGAAAAAAGUGUUUUUUGACCACAUUUUGGCUUAGAAAAAAAUAUAUUUUUCUCUAAAAAAAUAAUUUGUUUAGGAAUAUUUUUGUCGUAAAAGUGCUUCUUAGAAUUAAUGCUAAAUACACCCUAAAGAGUAUAAAUACCAUCCUCCAAAGGGUCUACAACAAGAAGAAAGAUUAUCAAAGCAAAAAUUUCAAUCAAUCAAUCUUUGUACUUAAAGUUUUCAUACUUUUCUUGUAUAUACUUGUUAGCUUUCAUUGUUGUUUAUUUAGCUCAAGUGUUUUAUUAUUUCAUUUGUGCUAAAUUGACAAACAAUCCAUUCUUGUAAGGAUUAAUUCAUUGUUUGUUUAUUUGUAUUACUUUUUGAGAGGAUUUUAUCUUAAAGUUUGUGAUAAUACUCUAGAACGACAUAUUUUAUGUGCUAAUUGCAUGUUUAUUUUGAGUAUGGUCCUACUAAUUUGGGUUAUUUUAUGGUCUUUUAUCUUUUAGGGGCUAAAUUGAAGGCAAAAGUAAAUUUAAAGACGAAAAGCGUGA